ensembl:snoRNA ACEA small nucleolar RNA U3
AAGACUAUGCUUUCAGGGAUCAUUUCUAUAGUUUCUGAUUUGGAAGUUUGAUUUGAAAGUGUAACGUCUCUCUAACCACGAUGACGAGUUAAGAUGCUUUCUUCUGAGCGUGAAUCGGGUGGUGAGCGACGAGCGAGAUUGUCUGCUCUCUGUCAUUGAUGAACGUUCCUGCUGUGCUUUGCAGUCUGGAAGAAGAAAGCAUGUUCAGAGUGGUU